rnacentral:rRNA from 1 species
GACGAACGCUGGCGGCGUGCUUAACACAUGCAAGUCGAACGAUGAAGCCGGAGCUUGCUCUGGUGAAUUAGUGGCGAACGGGUGAGUAACACGUGAGUAACCUGCCCUUGACUCUGGGAUAACUGCGGGAAACUGUAGCUAAUACCGGAUACGACCCUCGGAGGCAUCUCCUGGGGGUGGAAAGAAUUUCGGUCAAGGAUGGACUCGCGGCCUAUCAGCUAGUUGGUGAGGUUAAGGCUCACCAAGGCGACGACGGGUAGCCGGCCUGAGAGGGUGACCGGCCACACUGGGACUGCGACACGGCCCAGACUCCUACGGGAGGCAGCAGUGGGGAAUAUUGCACAAUGGGCGCAAGCCUGAUGCAGCAACGCCGCGUGAGGGAUGACGGCCUUCGGGUUGUAAACCUCUUUUAGCAGGGAAGAAGCGAAAGUGACGGUACCUGCAGAAAAAGCACCGGCUAACUACGUGCCAGCCGCCGCAGUAA